AAACGCCUAUAAAUAUUUCAUGUUAUGAAAGAAAAUCACAUGAUAUUUUUGUCCGUAUAUCAUGUAAUUUUACAUAAUCAAGUGAGUUUUAAAAGUUUUACAUAGUCAGCACACAUAUUUCUCCAUAUAUUAUAUUAUUUCACAGAAUCACAUGAGUUUUAGCAAUUCUACCCAACCAACAUCUUUAUUUUGUCAAUAUAUCCUGUUAUUUCAUAUAAUCACAUGAGUUUUAACAAUUUUGAACGACCAAAAAAAAUAUUUUUUCAAUAUGUCAUAUUAUUUCAUAGAAUCACAUGAGUUCUAACCUCUUUCACAUGUUUCAUAUCCACCACCGCAAACACUACCACCGACAGUAUCACCAGUAUGAUCUUCUCCACCGCUGCUAUUUUUAUGUUUCUCUUCUGUUCAUUGGAUUGUUUUUUUUUCUCUUUAUUUCUUUCUCCACAAAUAUAUAGUUUGGUAAUUACCAUAACUCUAAAGAACAUUUUGGUAUUUAUAUCACCUUGACCCCACUUUCAAAAGAGUUAGUUUGCAAAGAAAUCUGACAUAAGGUUAGUUACUUAAUUUAUUUUUAUUUCAUAGUCAUCUACCAAAGUUGCUCUUUUUCUAUCUCUCACAUGGUCCCAUGUCUAAUUAUCAUAUUGUAAAUAGUAAACAUACUUAGAGCAAGUCCAGUGGAGUAACAAGUACCGUUACUCAAUCUUUUUAAGGCCCAAAAAUAAAUCAAAAACCUUAAAAUAUGUCCAAUUUUCAGAGAAUCGAUUCUUAUGAAGGCAACGGAAGAACCCAAUAAGACAUGAUACGUGUCAAUUUUGCAUUGGAUAAUGAGUAAAUAGAAAUUUUUUUUUUUUUCCCAAUUUCUUCUUUUCUCUUUCCCGACUCUCUCUCUCUUUUCUCUUGUGAUACUUCCCUCUCUCUCAAAUCCAUAGAAAUCAUUGAACAAAUCCAUAAAAAUCAUUGGAUUCAAGGCGAUUACGAAGGUCAUGCCUCUUUACGGUCCUAAUUCUCAAGGUGGUCGUUGUGUGGGAGGUUUCUCCUCUGGUCGCGGUGGUGCUCAUCCUGGUGGAGGGCGCGACGGCGGUGGUAGUCGUGGCGGUGGUGGUGGCGGUCGUGGGAAACAGCGAUGGUGGUAUCAGCGAUUUUGUAUCUCAAACAACAUUGUUGAAAGAUUUCGUUUUUUGUCCUUGAGGAGGAUGAAGAAGUAGAUUGAAGAGCAACAUAGGAAAGCAUUAGAGGAGUAUCCUUCUGAUUUUGCAUAAGAUGAGAGUAAAGAGGCUGGUAGGUAAACAUGAUGGCAUACGGUCAGAACUUCGAUGAUGGAAGAGACGAUUACAAUUAGGUAGAUGAUGGUUACAGAACAAUAGGCGGCUGACAUUGGCUGAUUUCAUUGAUCAUCCAGAUUGUGGAGACUAUUUUAAAUCCAGAACUGGUUAAUAAUCUAGAGGAGCGGUUUAGAAAAACCGGGACAUUUUCGGUUCGAGAAAUCAACUCCCCUUCCUCCGAAACAAAAUCCCACCUUUAUCGGUUUUGCACUAAACCAGACCCACCUGCCAAAAAUCUGGUGGUUUUGGGACCGCCGUAGCAAGAAGAACAAGAUGGAGAGAGAUAGUCUAAGUCAACGAAGAGUUAAAAGAGGUAACUUUAUGAGGUCAAUCAAAGUCGGAAUAAAGUUUUGAACUUUCUUGGAAUUGGGACUUGGUGAUGAUUGCAUAAAACAUGUAAAAAUAUAUGGAUUGGUGAUUGAAGAGCCAAAGCGCCUUCCUGCUGAUGACGUAAAACAGAGAUUCGAUUCAAAUAGCUUCAAAUUAACAAGUAACCGAUAAACAUCAAACAACGUUCACAAGAGACGCAGAAUCAUCAUCUCAUCUGUAAGAGUCUCCGAUGGAGAUCCAACAAAACGAUGAGGAAGAUAGAUUCUAGAGAUCCUAGAAAGCUAACAAGUUCAGAUAAUUUGCAUAAUGAAAGCAGAGCUAACAUGUGCUCUAAAUACUCUGUGAAAACAUAAACAGAGUUAUAACGUUUACUAGCAUGGUUAACGGCUAACGACUCCAGCCCUUUGUCUCACGAGUUUCUCUUAUUCUUCUUAUCUUGACCAUCCAUGUGUAGACUCUCGUUUAACCUAGUCUACACAUUGCGUAGUCUGAUCUUUCUAUAUUUCGU